AGUGAACGCUGGCGGUAGGCCUAACACAUGCAAGUCGAACGGCAGCACAGUAAGAGCUUGCUCUUACGGGUGGCGAGUGGCGGACGGGUGAGGAAUACAUCGGAAUCUACUUUUUCGUGGGGGAUAACGUAGGGAAACUUACGCUAAUACCGCAUACGACCUACGGGUGAAAGCAGGGGAUCUUCGGACCUUGCGCGAUUGAAUGAGCCGAUGUCGGAUUAGCUAGUUGGCGGGGUAAAGGCCAACCAAGGCGACGAUCCGUAGCUGGUCUGAGAGGAUGAUCAGCCACACUGGAACUGAGACACGGUCCAGACUCCUACGGGAGGCAGCAGUGGGGAAUAUUGGACAAUGGGCGCAAGCCUGAUCCAGCCAUACCGCGUGGAUGAAGAAGGCCUUCGGGUUGUAAAGCCCUUUUGUUGGGAAAGAAAAGCAGCAGGUUAAUACCCCGCUGUUCUGACGGUACCCAAAGAAUAAGCACCGGCUAACUUCGUG
rnacentral:rRNA from 1 species